rnacentral:rRNA from 1 species
UACGGAGGGUGCAAACGUUAAUCGGAAUUACUGGGCGUAAAGCGCACGUAGGCGGUCCGUUAAGUGGGGUGUGAAAGCCCUGGGCUCAACCUGGGAAUUGCAUUCCAAACUGACGGGCUAGAGUGUGGUAGAGGGGGGUAGAAUUCCCUGUGUAGCGGUGAAAUGCGUAGAUAUAGGGAGGAAUACCUGUGGCGAAGGCGGCCCCCUGGACCAACACUGACGCUGAGGUGCGACAGCGUGGGGAGCAAACAGG